GACGUAGGGCGCGAGCGUUGUCCGGAUUUAUUGGGCGUAAAGAGCUCGUAGGCGGCUUGUCGCGUCGACUGUGAAAACCCGCGGCUCAACCCCCGGGCCUGCAUUCGAUACGGGCAGACUAGAGUUCGGUAGGGGAGUCUGGAAUUCCUGGUGUAGCGGUGAAAUGCGCAGAUAUCAGGAGGAACACCGGUGGCGAAGGCGGGACUCUGGGCCGAUACUGACGCUGAGGAGCGAAAGCGUGGGGAGCAAACAGG
rnacentral:rRNA from 1 species